GUACGCUGGCGGCACGCCUAACACAUGCAAGUCGAGCGAGGUACUUGUACCUAGCGGCAGACGGGUGCGUAACAUGUGGGAAUCUGCCUUUUGGUUCGGAACAACACGGGGAAACUUGUGCUAAUACCGGAUAAGUCCUAACGGAGAAAGAUUUAUCGCCGAAAGAUGAGCCCGCACUAGAUUAGCUUGUUGGUAAGGUAAAAGCUUACCAAGGCUACGAUCUAUAGCUGAUUUGAGAGGAUGAUCAGCCACACUGGGACUGAGACACGGCCCAGACUCCUACGGGAGGCAGCAGUGGGGAAUCUUGCACAAUGGAGGAAACUCUGAUGCAGCGAUGCCGCGUGAGUGAAGAAGGCCCUUGGGUUGUAAAGCUCUUUUGUCGGGAAAGAUAAUGACUGUACCCGAAGAAUAAGGUCCGGCUAACUUCGUGCCAGCAGCCGCGGUAAUACGAAGGGACCUAGCGUAAUUCGGAAUUACUGGGCGUAAAGCGCGCGUAGGCGGUUAAGUAAGUUAAUUGUGAAAGCCCAAAGCUCAACUUUGGAAUUGCAAUUAAAACUACUUAGCUAGAGUUUAUCAGAGGAAAGCGGAAUACAUAGUGGUAGAGGUGAAAUUCGUAGAUAUUAUGUAGAACACCAGUUGCGAAGGCGGCUUUCUGGGAUAACACUGACGCUGAGGUGCGAAAGUAUGGGUAGCGAAGAGGAUUAGAUACCCUCGUAGUCCAUACCGUAAACGAUGAUUGUUAGAUGUUGGAAAUU
rnacentral:rRNA from 1 species